AUUGAACGCUGGCGGCAGGCUUAACACAUGCAAGUCGAGCGGGGAAGGGUAGCUUGCUACCUGACCUAGCGGCGGACGGGUGAGUAAUGCUUAGGAAUCUGCCUAUUAGUGGGGGACAACAUUCCGAAAGGAAUGCUAAUACCGCAUACGCCCUACGGGGGAAAGCAGGGGAUCUUCGGACCUUGCGCUAAUAGAUGAGCCUAAGUCAGAUUAGCUAGUUGGUGGGGUAAAGGCCUACCAAGGCGACGAUCUGUAGCGGGUCUGAGAGGAUGGUCCGCCUCACUGGGACGAGGGCACGGCCCAGGCUCCUACGGGAGGCAGCAGUGGGGAAUAUUGGACAAUGGGCGCAAGCCUGAACCAGCCAUGCCGCGUGUGUGAAGAAGGCCUUUUGGUUGUAAAGCACUUUAAGCGAGGAGGAGGCUACUGGUAUUAAUACUACCGGAUAGUGGACGUUACUCGCAGAAUAAGCACCGGCUAACUCUGUGCCAGCAGCCGCCGUAAUAC
rnacentral:rRNA from 1 species